UACACUUUAAAUCCUUUAACGAGGAUCUAUUGGAGGGCAAGUCUGGUGCCAGCAGCCGCGGUAAUUCCAGCUCCAAUAGCGUAUAUUAAAGUUGUUGCGGUUAAAAAGCUCGUAGUUGGAUCUCGGUUUCACUCAGGUGGUACACCUUGCGGUGUUCACUAUCUGGGUGGACGUUUCUGUUGGUUCGCUCUUGGUGCUCUUCAUCGGGUGCCAUUUGGUGGCCAGCACGUUUACUUUGAAAAAAUUGGAGUGCUCAAAGCAGGCGUUACAGCCUGAACAUUAGUGCAUGGAAUAAUGGAAUAGGAUCUCGAUUCUAUUUCGUUGGCUUUCGGAGUCGAGGUAAUGAUUAAUAGGGACAGACGGGGGCAUUCGUACUGCGACGUUAGAGGUGAAAUUCUUGGAUCGUCGCAAGACGAACUACUGCGAAAGCAUUUGCCAAGAAUGUUUUCAUUAAUCAAGAACGAAAGUUAGAGGUUCGAAGGCGAUCAGAUACCGCCCUAGUUCUAACCAUAAACGAUGCCAACCGGCGAUCCGUCGUCGUUAAUUGAAUGACUCGACGGGCAGCCUCCGGGAAACCAGAGUGUUUGGGUUCCGGGGGAAGUAUGGUUGCAAAGCUGAAACUUAAAGGAAUUGACGGAAGGGCACCACCAGGAGUGGAGCCUGCGGCUUAAUUUGACCCAACACGGGAAAUCUCACCAGGCCCGGACACCGGAAGGAUUGACAGAUUGAGAGCUCUUUCUUGAUUCGGUGGGUGGUGGUGCAUGGCCGUUCUUAGUUGGUGGAGCGAUUUGUCUGGUUAAUUCCGAUAACGAACGAGACUCUGGCCUACUAACUAGAAGGUCUAUCCUUUAUGGGUAGGCCUCUGCUUCUUAGAGGGACGGGCGGCGUUUAGCCGCACGAGAAUGAGCAAUAACAGGUCUGUGAUGCCCUUAGAUGUUCUGGGCUGCACGCGCGCUACACUGAAGGAAUCAGCAUGUUCUCCCCUCCCUGAAAAGGGCGGGUAACCCGUUGAAACUCCUUCGUGAUGGGGAUUGGAGAUUGUAAUUAUUCUCCAUGAACGAGGAAUUCCCAGUAGGCGCGAGUCAUCAGCUUGCGUCGAUUACGUCCCUGCCCUUUGUACACACCGCCCGUCGCUACUACCGAUCGAGUGAUUUAGUGAGGACUUCGGACUGGUCUUCAAGUUGGCUUCGGUCGGCUCGAAGUUCCGGAAAGAUGCCCAAACUUGAUCACUUAGA
rnacentral:rRNA from 1 species